rnacentral:rRNA from 1 species
AGCAUUUAGAGCUUGCUCUUAUAGAUGGCGAGUGGCGAACGGGUGAGUAACGCGUAGGAAUAUACCUUAAAGUGGGGGAUAACCCGGGGAAACCCGAGCUAAUACCGCGUAAGCUCUACGGAGUAAAGCUGGGGACCUUAUGGCCUGGCGCUUUAAGAAUAGCCUGCGUCUGAUUAGCUAGUUGGUGGGGUAAAGNAUCUACCAAGGCGAUGAUCGGUAGCUGGUCUGAGAGGAUGGACAGCCACACUGGGACUGAGACACGGCCCAGACUCCUACGGGAGGCAGCAGUGGGGAAUAUUGGACAAUGGGGGCAACCCUGAUCCAGCGAUGCCGCGUGUGU